CUGUGCUCUCUCCUUAAUCCCUAUGUAUAUUUAGACAAAUGUACAGACAUAGGGAUUAAGGAGAGAGCACAGGU